rnacentral:rRNA from 1 species
UACGUAGGGUGCAAGCGUUGUCCGGAAUUAUUGGGCGUAAAGGGCGCGUAGGCGGCCGGUUGCGUCGGAUGUGAAAGCCCGGGGCUCAACCCCGGAACGGCAUCCGAUACGGGCUGGCUUGAGACCGAGAGAGGUGAGUGGAAUACCCAGUGUAGAGGUGAAAUUCGUAGAUAUUGGGUGGAACACCGGUGGCGAAAGCGGCUCACUGGCUCGGUUCUGACGCUGAGGCGCGAAAGCGUGGGGAGCAAACAGG